AAAUUGAAGAGUUUGAUCAUGGCUCAGAUUGAACGCUGGCGGCAGGCCUAACACAUGCAAGUCGAACGGUAACAGGAAGAAGCUUGCUUCUUUGCUGACGAGUGGCGGACGGGUGAGUAAUGUCUGGGAAACUGCCUGAUGGAGAGGGAUAACUACUGGAAACGGUAGCUAAUACCGCAUAACGUCGCAAGACCAAAGAGGGGGACCUUCGGGCCUCUUGCCAUCGGAUGUGCCCAGAUGGGAUUAGCUUGUUGGUGGGGUAACGGCUCACC
rnacentral:rRNA from 1 species